GACGAACGCUGGCGGCGUGCUUAACACAUGCAAGUCGAACGGUGAAGCGCCUUCCUUUUUGGUGGGUGUGGAUGAGUGGCGAACGGGUGAGUAACACGUGAGUAACCUGCCCCCUUCUUCUGGAUAACCGCAUGAAAGUGUGGCUAGUACGGGAUAUUCUGGGUCUGUCGCAUGAUGGGUCUGGGAAAGAUAUUGUUUCGGUGGGGGAUGGGCUCGCGGCCUAUCAGCUUGUUGGUGGGGUGAUGGCCUACCAAGGCGGUGACGGGUAGCCGGCCUGAGAGGGUGGACGGUCACACUGGGACUGAGACACGGCCCAGACUCCUACGGGAGGCAGCAGUGGGGAAUAUUGCACAAUGGGCGCAAGCCUGAUGCAGCGACGCCGCGUGAGGGAUGGAGGCCUUCGGGUUGUGAACCUCUUUCGCCAGUGAAGCAGGCCUGCCUCGUUUGUGGGUGGGUUGACAGUAGCUGGAUAAGAAGCGCCGGCUAACUACGUG
rnacentral:rRNA from 1 species